ensembl:snRNA LOC120099394 U6 spliceosomal RNA
GUGCUUGCUUCAGCAGCACAUAUACUAAAAUUAGAAUGAUACUGAGAGGAUUAGCAUGACCACUGUGCAAGGAUGACAUGCAAAUUCAUGAAGUGUUCCAUAUUUUU